GACGAACGCUGGCGGCGUGCCUAAUACAUGCAAGUCGAGCGCAGGAAGCCGUCUGAACCCUUCGGGGGGACGACGGUGGAAUGAGCGGCGGACGGGUGAGUAACACGUAAAGAACCUGCCCAUAGGUCUGGGAUAACCACGAGAAAUCGGGGCUAAUACCGGAUGUGUCAUCGGACCCCAUGGUCCGCUGAUGAAAGGCGCUCCGGCGUCACCCAUGGAUGGCUUUGCGGUGCAUUAGCUAGUUGGUGGGGUAACGGCCCACCAAGGCGACGAUGCAUAGCCGACCUGGGAGGGUGAUCGGCCACACUGGGACUGAGACACGGCCCAGACUCCUACGGGAGGCAGCAGUAGGGAAUCUUCCACAAUGGACGAAAGUCUGAUGGAGCAACGCCGCGUGAACGAUGAAGGCUUUCGGGUCGUAAAGUUCUGUUGUAAGGGAAGAACAAGUGCCGCAGGCAAUGGCGGCACCUUGACGGUACCUUGCGAGAAAGCCACGGCUAACUACGUGCCAGCAGCCGCCGUAA
rnacentral:rRNA from 1 species